UACGUAGGGGUCGAGCGUUGUCCGGAGUUAUUGGGCGUAAAGGGCGCGUAGGCGGUUUGUACAGUCAGAUGUGAAAUUCCUGGGCUCAACCUGGGGGCUGCAUUUGAUACGUAUGGACUGGAGUGAGGAAGAGGGUCGUGGAAUUCCCAGUGUAGAGGUGAAAUUCGUAGAUAUUGGGAAGAACACCGGUGGCGAAGGCGGCGACCUGGUCCUUUACUGACGCUGAGGCGCGAAAGCGUGGGGAGCAAACAGG
rnacentral:rRNA from 1 species